GGUGGGGUGGCAGAGUGGUCGAAUGCGGCGGUCUUGAAAACCGUUGGGCGUGAGAGCGUCCCGUGGGUUCGAAUCCCACCCCCACCGCCA
rnacentral:tRNA from 1 species